rnacentral:rRNA from 1 species
CCUACGGGAGGCAGCAGUGAGGAAUAUUGGUCAAUGGGCGGAAGCCUGAACCAGCCAAGUAGCGUGCGGGAUGAAGGCCCUACGGGUCGUAAACCGCUUUUGCACGGGGAUAACACCCUCCACUUGUGGAGGUCUGCAGGUACCGUGCGAAUAAGGGCCGGCUAAUUCCGUGCCAGCAGCCGCGGUAAUACGGAAGGACCGAGCGUUAUCCGGAUUCAUUGGGCUUAAAGGGAGCGGAGGCGGGCGUUCAAGUCAGCUGUAAAAGCGCGCGGCUCAACCGCGCCCCGCAGUUGAAACUGGACGCCUUGAGGUCACAACAGGCAGGCGGAAUUCGUGGUGUAGCGGUGAAAUGCAUAGAUAUCACGAGGAACCCCGAUUGCGAAGGCAGCCUGCCGGGGUGCGACUGACGCUGAGGCUCGAAGGUGCGGGUAUCAAACAGGAUUAGAUACCCUAGUAGUC